rnacentral:rRNA from 1 species
UACGGAGGGAGCGAGCGUUGUCCGAAGUUACUGGGCGUAAAGCGCGCGUAGGCGGGGGAUUAAGUGAGAAGUGAAAGGCUGGGGCUCAACCCCAUGCAGUGCUUCUCAUACUGGUCCUCUUGAGGGCGGUGAGAGAGAAGUGGAAUGGCUGGUGUAGCGGUGAAAUGCGUAGAUAUCAGUCGGAACACCGGUGGCGAAGGCGGCUUCUUGGGCCGUUUCUGACGCUGAGGCGGCGAAAGCCAGGGGAGCGAACGGG